rnacentral:lncRNA from 1 species
CAGCGCUUGCUGCCUUCUAACAAAAGCAGUCACCAGGUCAUUCCUCGUUUUGGCGUGUGAUGAUCGACCUUCGGUUCCCUCCCUUUUCGAUCCGUACGGAGUCCUUGUGGAGUUGGUCUUCUCUCUCAAUAUCUUGUCGGGAAACCUUGGACUGCGUGGAGUCACACCAAGCCGUGGCCCAAACCUCCGCGCGGUUUGGCGCUGUGUUGGGUCACUCCAUCUUUGGCAUUGGAUCCCAGUCAGUUGUUCAGUUGUAUCAGGAUCUGAAGGAGCCACCAAAGCAGCCGACUCCGCACCAGCGGUCUUUUCCACCCGACGAGAGUAGGUACAAGUCGACCGCCGUCGCUCGCUCUGCUGACCCGUAGGAUGUGAGCUCCCAAACGACGCUCUGCGGCGUUGCCUUAUUCCAGGGAUCGGUCCCUUCGACGAUGAUGCCUUCACAACUCUUUGGGAUAGAGAUAUCUCCGGGGUAAACGUGCAUGCGGUGCGUUCUACUUCAUCUAGCUGAAGCUUCUCCCGGAUGAUUCUGGAAGCCCCGCGGCACCGCGGUUGCCAGUGACAGGGAAGUUGCAGUUCUUGGAGGACUGACGCCAGGCGUUCCUUUUCCGUCACAUUGGCGUGUUUGCUCUGGCUUUUUCCCACGGGCCGACAAUAACCCUGCUCCUUCCAUGACGCACUCGUCUCUGUGACUGCACAGGAUCGUUCGCUGUUGCAUCUAGGUACCAUCAACUGACUGGUUCUUUCAUCAAAGGUGGUGGUCUCGUCAAGCCCGUGGUAGCCGUUGCUGGUUGAAAAAAACGAUGAUGCAGUUCGAUGCUGAACGCUACCGCUGUUUUCCCAGUUUUGGCCUGAAGAAUUCACUUCUGGUACCGGAUGGAGAAGUGAGUCUUCGUCCUUCCGAAAUGUCUUAAAUUCGAGGUCGGAGGACACUAAAGGCUUUUCCCAGGUACCGGGCAGGUGAGCGCAAGAACAUAUAGGGCCUCCAGCACGCGUUUGCGUGGUGCCAGGACAGUCGCGCGUUGCAUGAUGGCUAUGCAGUUCAGCUCCUUUCUCGCUCAAAAGGCAACCUACGGUGGA